ACAAUAUGCUGCCCGCAAACGACCGCACGACCUCUCCCCUCCUCCCCGCACGACCUAUCUCGCCCCCUUCUCCUCACACGUCUCUCGCCCCCUCCUCCCGCGCCGUUCGCCGCCCCGCCGUUCCUCCCGCACCCUUGCGCCGCCAUUAGCCACAGGAUCCGCCCUGCCGCGCGCGGAGACGCCUCCAGCAGCUGCCGCCGAUGCCGUAACCUCCCCCUGCCUCUACCCCAGGCGCGAGGAACCUACCUCCCGAAGCAACCGGAGCGGCAAAGCGGCGGAUGAAUGGAGAGAUGGCGUCUGUGGCGGCGGGGAAGGAGAUGGCGCGGGCGUCCUACAUCCAGAUCAAGCACGAGGAGGAGCGGCGAGGGCCCGAGGGCCGGUUCUUCUCCGUCACACGCGCGCCGAUGUCGCCGCGCGUCGACCAGAUCCUCGCCGGGCGCGCCUCCUUCGCCGACCUUGCUGCACAGCACUCCGGCUGCUCCUUCGCCCGCCGCGGCAGCAACCUAGGUAUGCCUCCACUUGCCCCACCUACGCGCUUAGCAGGCUUUCAUAUAGGGUCUCCGAUCAUGGCGAACCGGAAGCACCAGCCCACGAAGAGCUCGACAGCGUGAGGUCCUCUCCUGCCAGCAGUAGGUGACCAGGCCGAGAUCCACCGCCGAGCCAAGCACUUCUCCGUUCUUUUUCUUCCUCUGUUACACAGCCAAAACAAUUUUCUUUAGAACAAUCGUAUCUCCAGCCAGCAGUACAUGAACCUACAGCACAAAUAAUGGAGGAGCGAGCGACUACAAUAGAGGAUGGACCUGUGGUUGCUUUCCAACUCUUUUCUUCAAAACAGUCUGAGAAAGAGUGCAAAGGAAAUUGGACCAUAUUCAUAUGCAACGGGAAAUUGCUCAGGAAUAUCUCCAUCUUAUGCUUAUUGCUUUGAUAUAGAGUGACCUAUAAAAGGGUCAAAACAAUCAGUGAGAUACUUCUCUGGAUGUAGAGCUCAUUGACGUAUGCCUAAAAAAAUAAAAUUAUAUUUUUUACACUAUUAUUCUCAAUUGUAUGGUUGAACAUUCAUUACCUUGUGGUUUGUACUUGGUCCCAGCCUCCCAAGCUUAAAUCCGAAGUUGUUCUGUAUAGGGGAGUGAAUUGUAUGAGUGUGUUUCCAGGCUUAAAUCUGAAAUUGUUGUGUAUACCAUAUGUGCAUGCGGUGCGUAUGGUAGAACCAAUUGAUUUGCAGAAGAUGACAUGAAUCGGAAGGGUAAUCAGUGCCGCCAACGGAAGGCUCGGCAGUGCUGAUCACCAGAGCUAGACUACUGGCAGUGCCAUCCAAAUCCUCGGUGACGCUCAAGGGUGACCAUAGUAGCAUAUAUUCAGCCCAAAUACAGUGCUGUCAUCAAACGCCGUCUGCAAUUUUCUAGCUCCAGGAAUUUCGACCGUCCUACAAGAAGAAUCAGUUGAGAAGCUGCAGUGCUAGGACUGGUUGUUGCCCAAAGAGAUGAUAUGACCAUCAGUUUAUGGUCUUUUUGAGCUUGAUGUUUCUGUAUUGGAGAAAUGAAGUCUUCGGCAUGUACACGGUGUAAACAAUCAUUGGAAAAGGCGAGAUGAAGAUAAGAGGAGCAUAUAGAAGUUUCUGAUUUGUAUAGGAGGCCUUGUUGGUAUGAUUUAUUUUCCUGAUGGUAUAUUCAUCUCAUUAGGAAGGCCUUGUUGUGUGGCUUUGGUCUUCCUAAAUUUGUGUGUGGAUUUUUCUCUUUUCUUUUUAGCUUUGUGAAACAAUGACUAUCCUAGUGCAAGAUCUACUCAUGGAUAUUUCCUUAUUGUACAGUUUUCCAUUUUAAAAUAGUAGACAUUUCUCCAUUGUUGAGAUGUUGAUAGGACAAGUUUAAUAGAUUGUUUAUCUUACCAGGACUAAGAUUAGCCUGGAGAAAGUGUGGCUUGCAUGCCAUCUAUGUCAUACACAAAUUAUUAAAUUUUCUUUCUUCAUUUUUUGUUCAUGAAUGUUGCACUCUUGGAGAUGAGACUCAGAAUGGAUGCAUAAUGGUCCUGGCUACUGGCGAGCUUGAAGCAAGUGGUGCGUGUUGUGACUCCCACUGUGGCGCUGUAGUCGACUCCAUCAAUUCAAAUUCUGAAGAUAACAUGUAGCCUGAAUCCAAGAGGGAACAAAUCCAGUUGUUACAAGACUGCGUUCUGUUUUGCAUAUUUUGUUGACAGUUUGCAUCUCUGCCAUGUUCAUCUUGGAUUAUGAUUUCUUUUUCAUCUGCUCCCACUUAUAUAUGUAUUAUAAGUCCUUCGAAGUACACAGAAUAAAUCAGACAUUCUGAAAUCUUUAGUAUA